GUUCAUGGCGUUCGCGCAGAGAAGCAGGCCGGCGUGGAACGCUGCUACAACUUUCCGCAUCGUUCGCUUUGUUGUUCCAGACGCCGCCGGGAACCAGGGUGCAUCGAGCGAGGUAAUUGGAAUGGAGUCCACUGCUUCGGACGGCAAUGGAGAAGAGAAAAAAGAAACCGUCGGCUUCGUGCGGUGGCCAAGCAGUACCCGUGAAGGAAUUGCCCCAUGCUGCGCCACGUCCACUGUUGGUAGGCCGCUACUGUUGCCAAGGUUCUGGGUCUGUGCUCACUCUGCGGCGGACAGGCACUGGUACACCGCAGUGCUUGCAGAUCGUCGUCCAGUCGCUGCAUGCCACCGACUCGACACAGCAACGCCUGGUCAUCUGACGUGCAGUAGAGGCCGCGGCAAACCAAAGCAUUCUCGCUGACCUCCUCUGAGCAGCGUAACCGACCUCUGUGUUGGUCCCUUCGUUUGGGAGAAAUAAAAUUUUGGUUGCCAUUCAAUGU